rnacentral:SRP_RNA from 1 species
GCUUUGGGCUUGCGCAACAGGACUCUUCGAACUGUGUCAGGUCCUGACGGAAGCAGCACUAAGGAGUACGUCCCGUGUGCCGCAAGGGUGCCGGGGCCGA